CGUGUUCCCACUAGAGAGAGAUGAUGGUUACGUUCUGCAUCUUGGAAAUACCAUUGUUGAUUCAUCAGGAACCCUGUUCUGGAAUCUUGGGGUGGAAGCUCUGUGCUGGCUUACCAUCUCCUCUGUCCUCUACGUUCUGGGUGAGUGGAUCAGCUGAGAACGAUACCCUGGAGUCACCAGCACGUGACUGAAGCCAUGGGAAGGGAUGUGAGUUUCCAGGGGUGAGUUAGGAAGCAUGACAAGAGAAGACGACCAAGGACAUCUGAUGGCAGAGGAGGCCCUGCUGAGGUGGGGACCGGCAUCAGGCACCCCAGAGCUUUUGGGCUCAGGCCUUGUUUCCUACUUGGGUUCCUGAUGAGGCAAAUAGCAUCUGGCCUCCUAUGGAAGUGUGUGCCCUACACGCAGGGCAAGAUGGUCUUGUCUCUGAACUCCUAGGUAGAGGAUUUUGAUGAAAAUCCAAAGACCAAUAGAUUCUGGAAUGAAGGUGCUGACCUCUGCUUCCUAAGCAUCCAGAUAUGUAAAAUCUCCUCACAGCUACUCUUCUCCCAGCAUAAAGUUAAGCUUUUUGAAUGUA